CCCUGUCUCCUUAGUAAGAGACUUAAAUUUUACUUAAGUUUACUUAAACUCCUCACAUUUUCCACAGCAAGAAAACUACCCCUCUUACCAAGUGAGCUGCUCAUUUGCUGAAUGUUCUCUCUUUACUUUGGCUUCCCUUCUUUAGAAAUUUCUUGAUCUCUCUUGGUUUUAUCCCAUUCCCCAAUGUCCAUGACCAUCAUCUCCAACAGAUCCCAGAGCCAGAAGCCUUUCCAGUUCUUGAUUUCCACUUCCUAUCAUCAUUCUGGAAAGUGUACAGCCCUUUACUUGUUGAUUGAAAAUAUUUUCCCAUGCUUUUUGGCACAGAGUUGCUACAGGACCAUCUUCCUCUUUAGCCUGCUGGAGACCUUCAUUUGGACACACUCAGUUGUGUUGCAGACUGGGCAGCCACAGGUAUGUCACCUCAUGUCACCUGUCUAGUUCAGACAGCCAGCUGUGUCUUCAGCAACAGCCCCUGCUGUUUUCAUCUUGGAGGCAUGAAAAUAGCAGGGCUACCUCAAAUUACAUUCUAUUACUUUUCUUCUUUUCCAGAUUGAACUGAAGGAGCUAUAAAGGAGGGUUUUGCAUGACAUAACUUUAUUGGCUGAGUUUUGAUGCAAAUUUCCUUAGAUUUUUCUGGAUCCACAGGAAAACAAUAAAUCUCUUCAGGAAAUUAUUUAGGUGGCUACAUCCAUGUCAACAUAAGCCAAAACCCAUAGGAAAGGAAGAAGAUAAGUAAAAUAACUUGGAGAUGUUUCAAAGCAGAGGAAAAUGAGGAGAAUAUCAGUAUUCUCCAGAUGGAAUGACAGUGCAAACAAGUAUGAGCAAGGUUUCCUCUGUAGGACAUGUGCACAGGCAUGGACACACACUCUUUCAUGUGAAUCAGGGAUGACAAAACACAGAAGAGAUGACAACGUUUACUUCUUCACAGACCUGGGAAUCCUACUGUGCAAGAGACCUCAGCAAUCCUCCCAAGAGCCUUCCAAAGGCCACCAUGGAAUGUCUCUGCUGCACAGAAGGAGAAAGAUUUCACAAACAGAAGUUCGUGAAAGCUCUAAGAUUAUUUCACACAUGUGA
rnacentral:lncRNA from 1 species